AUGCGGUUUAGUUCGGUUCGGUUUACAAAAUACAAACCGCAAACCAAACCAAACCACGCAAUUCCAUUAGAAAAUGAUCCAAACACAUCCGAACCAAAUACAGUUUUUUGCGGUUUCGAUUUAGUUCGGUUCGGUUUUACGGUUUUUUGUUGGGCCGGUUUGGUUUUGAACACCCCUACGUACAUGUAUAUAUUUAAAUAUAAAUUAAGCAUAUUUUUUAUACAUGAAAAAAAAAAAAAGCUUACAUCACAUAUAUUGCUUUAUUUGAAGUAUUAUAUAUUUUGUUUCCAAAGGUAA